UCCCUGAUGGCUCAGACGGUAAAGCAUCUGCCUGCAAUGCGGGAGACCCGGGUUCGAUCCCUGCGUAGGGAA
rnacentral:tRNA from 1 species